CAAAAAUGUAUUACCGUGCAUGGUAUCAUCGUUGCUGAUUGGUGACCUACAUGACAACGUACAGAGAUGCUAUUGUGCUCGUUGGCUUUAUCGACUCUGCACACACCGGUAUAAUUGAGUGUGUAAAUCGCACUGAACGGGCACUGUCUAUGUCAAAUCGAUACAUAUUAGGGAAACCGGGGCAGAUAUUUUUGGUUCCAUAUAACUCAGGUACUCAUUGGAUGUUAUUGGUGGUACCCGGAUGAAGAAGUCGUGCAUUUCAUGGAUCAGCUAAAAAGGCGACUUUGUGCUGGUGAAUGGAAAACUAUUGUCGACAAUUAAGUCUGCUUCCCAAAUUUUUUUUUUACUAUAUUGAUCAGUUGAUGCUGUUUCUUCAUGUAUUGAACUUGCUGCUUACUAAUUAUAAUUUUUGUGAUCAUCAUUUUCAAGCUCCAUUAAAAUCUUCAAUGCCCAAAAGGGUAGGAAAGGAAGGAAAAUAAUCCAAUGGAAGAAUCUUGCUGGUAUUCCGGAGCAAACUGAUUCUAAGACUUGUGGUUAUUUUGUCAUGCGUUAUAUGAAAGAAAUUGUGGAGGACAAGAACUUGGAGUUUGCUACCAAGUGGAAAAGGAAAUCAAAUCUUGCUUACACACAGAGGGAUAUUGAUGUGGUUCGAGCUGAAUGGGCAAAUCAUGUUAUGAAGUUCUAACUUUGGUUCUGUUUAAGGUAGAUGAGUAGCACUAGGAACUGCUUUUGUGCAUUUAUAUAUAAUUGAUGGAAAGUGUUGAUAAACCUAAAUUAUGCAUGCAGUUGCUCUGCCUAGCUACUCUUUCUUUACCUUAUAGGUUUUUGACUUGGUGCAAUAUUAGGUAAAUG